GGCUUCGUGGUCAAGCGGUAAGGACACUUGCCUUUCAACCAAGGGGUCCCGGGUUCGAAUCCUGGGUAUGACA